GAUGAAGAACGCAGCGAAAUGCGAUACUUGGUGUGAAUUGCAGAAUCCCGUGAACCAUCGAGUCUUUGAACGCAAGUUGCGCCCGAAGCCACUAGGCCGAGGGCACGCCUGCCUGGGCGUCACACGUCGUUGCCCCCCCAUCUACUCCUUCGGGAUUGCGGGGGGCGGUUGAUGGCCUCCCGUGCGCCUCGUCGCGCGGUUGGCAUAAAUGCCAAGUCCUCGGCGACGCACGCCACGACAAUCGGUGGUUGCGAAACCUCGGUUGCCCGUCGUGUGCGGUCGUCGCGCAUCGAGGGCUCGAAAAAAUUGCCGGGCUCCGGCUCGGCUUUCAACGCGACCCCAGGUCAGGCGGGGUUACCCGCUGAAUUUAAGCAUAUCAAUAAGCGGAGGA
rnacentral:misc_RNA from 1 species